CACAGUAAAUCUUGCUGCUGCUCACUCUCUGGGUCUGCACUACCUUUAUGAGCUGUAACACUGUGAAGGUCUGCAGCUUCACUCCUGAAGCCAGCGAGACCAUGAACCCACCGGGAGGAACAAACAACUCCUGACGCGCCACCUUUAAGAGCCCUAACACUCACUGCAAAGGUCUGCAGCUUCGCUCCUGAAGUCAGAAAGACCACGAACCCACCGGGAGGAACAAACAACUCUGGACGCACCACCUUUAAGAGCUGUAACACUCACUGCGAAGGUCUGCGGCUUCACUCCUGAAGUCAAGCAAGACCACAAACCCACCGGAAGGAAAAAACUCCAGACACAUCUGAACAUCUGAAGGAACAAACUCCAGACAUACCAUCUGUAAGAACUGUAACACUUACCGCGAGGGUCCGCGGCUUCAUUCUUGAAGUCAGCCAGACCAAGAACCCACCGGGAGGAACCAAUUCCGGACACAGUAUGGUUGGUCCACAAGAGAGAUGGUUGCAGACGACAAAGCCGGUAUUCAAAGCACAAGAGGGAUUCAGUGUACCGUUACUGACUUGAAGAUGGAG
rnacentral:lncRNA from 10 species